rfam:Salmo salar isolate Sally breed double haploid chromosome ssa01, whole genome shotgun sequence.
UGCACUCACUACUGUAAGUCGCUCUGGAUAAGAGCGUCUGCUAAAUGACAAAAA